ACGCUCGACACCUACGGGAGUCAGCAGUGGGGAAUAUUGCACAAUGGGGGAAACCCUGAUGCAGCGACGCCGCGUGAAGGAAGAAGUAUUUCGGUAUGUAAACUUCUAUCAGCAGGGAAGAAAAUGACGGUACCUGACUAAGAAGCCCCGGCUAACUACGUGCCAGCAGCCGCGGUAAUCUGAGCGGGCUGGCAAGGC
rnacentral:rRNA from 1 species